rnacentral:tRNA from 1 species
GGGGGUAGAGCUCAGUGGCAGAGUGUGUGCUUAGCAUGCAUGAGGUCCUGGGUUCAAUCCUCAGUACCUCUA